rnacentral:rRNA from 1 species
AGUGGCGAACGGGUGAGUAACGCGUAGGAAUAUGCCUUAAAGUGGGGGACAACCUGGGGAAACUCAGGCUAAUACCGCAUAAUCUCUGAGGAGAGAAGCUGGGGACCUUCGGGCCUGGCGCUUUAAGAUUAGCCUGCGUCCGAUUAGCUAGUUGGUAGGGUAAGGGCCUACCAAGGCGACGAUCGGUAGCUAGUCUGAGAGGAUGGCCAGCCACACUGGAACUGAGACACGGUCCAGACUCCUACGGGAGGCAGCAGUGGGGAAUAUUGGACAAUGGGGGCAACCCUGAUCCAGCAAUGCCGCGUGUGUGAAGAAGGCCUGAGGGUUGUAAAGCACUUUCAGUGGGGAGGAGAGGACUUAGGUUAAGAGCUAGAGUUCUGGACGUUACCCACAGAAGAAGCACCGGCUAACUCCGUGCCAGCAGCCGCGGUAAUACGGAGGGUGCGAGCGUUAAUCGGAAUUACUGGGCGUAAAGAGUGCGUAGGUGGUUAGAUAAGUUAUCUGUGAAAUCCCUGGGCUCAACCUGGGCAGGUCAGAUGAUACUGUUUAACUCGAGUAUGGGAGAGGGUAGUGGAAUUUCCGGUGUAGCGGUGAAAUGCGUAGAGAUCGGAAGGAACACCAGUGGCGAAGGCGGCUACCUGGCCUAAUACUGACACUGAGGCACGAAAGCGUGGGGAGCAAACAGGAUUAGAUACCCUGGUAGUCCACGCUGUAAACGAUGUCAACUAGC